CAGAGCUUGCUCUGGUGAAAGUGGCGCACGGGUGAGUAACGCGUAGAUAAUCUGCCUGAUGAUCGGGGAUAACACUUCGAAAGGGGUGCUAAUACCGGAUAAGCUCACGGAGUCCUUGGACUCUGCGGGAAAAGGGGGGGACCUUUAUCGGCCUUCUGUCAUCAGAUGAGUCUGCGUACCAUUAGCUAGUUGGUAGGGUAAAGGCCUACCAAGGCGACGAUGGUUAGCUGGUCUGAGAGGAUGAUCAGCCACACUGGAACUGAGACACGGUCCAGACUCCUACGGGAGGCAGCAGUGGGGAAUUUUGCGCAAUGGGGGAAACCCUGACGCAGCAACGCCGCGUGAGUGAUGAAGGCUCUUGGG
rnacentral:rRNA from 1 species